GCUUAGGUAGUUUCAAAGAAAAUAUUAAUUUGUGGAAUUAAAGAUAUAAAAAGUUAUUUUAAGCA
rnacentral:tRNA from 1 species